UUGAACGCUGGCGGCAUGCUUUACACAUGCAAGUCGAACGGUAACAGGCCUUCGGGUGCUGACGAGUGGCGAACGGGUGAGUAAUGCAUCGGAACGUACCCAGAGGUGGGGGAUAACGCAGCGAAAGCGUUGCUAAUACCGCAUGUGAUCUGAGGAUGAAAGCGGGGGACCGGGCAGCAAUGUUUGGCCUCGCGCCUUUGGAGCGGCCGAUGUCGGAUUAGCUAGUUGGUGGGGUAAAGGCCUACCAAGGCGACGAUCCGUAGCUGGUCUGAGAGGACGACCAGCCACACUGGGACUGAGACACGGCCCAGACUCCUACGGGAGGCAGCAGUGGGGAAUUUUGGACAAUGGGCGCAAGCCUGAUCCAGCAAUGCCGCGUGCGGGAAGAAGGCCUUCGGGUUGUAAACCGCUUUUGGCAGGAACGAAACGGUGUCCGCUAAUACCGGGCGCUAAUGACGGUACCUGCAGAAUAAGCACCGGCUAACUACGUG
rnacentral:rRNA from 1 species